CAGUCAGAUGUUACAGGAUGCCACAAUCAAUGUACUGGAUUAUCUUUAUCUGAGAUACACUGUUCUGCACUUAUAACUUCAGUGAAAAUCACAACAUCUUUAGCUGAAAACAGUGUUUAGAGGUAGCUUUAUGACAUGGACAUGACAUAAAGCUACAUGACAUUCUAAAAAAGUGUCAACCACCAAUACUGUAUACUAACACUGGAUUUAAAGUACCACAAAAAACACUGUUGGAGUUUGGUCAGGUAUAUCAAAGCAGGGUAUCAGCAAACACGGUUACUCAGAAACUUCAAUUAUAUUGUGAUUAGGAUGAUGAAUAAUGAAUAAUUGAUUAUUUAAUUACAAAGGGUCAAAAAGCUAUCCAAACCAACCUGGCCCUACCUAAAAAUGUAAUUAACCCCUAGAUUAGUCGUCCCACCAUUGGCACAUUGGGGAGUUUUCCAGCAUGAGCAACAAAUUUAAGCUUGUGACACAGCAUUUUUAUUAUAAAAGGAAUAACUUCAGACUUUGAAUAGGCCACUCCAAAACCUUUAUUUUGUGUUUUUAGGAUAUUCAGACAGCUCAUGUGCUUUGAACAUUGUAUUACAGCAUAAGCCAAGUGUAUUUAAGGUUGAGGUGACAAAAUGAUAGUUGGACAUUCUCCUUCAGGAUUUUCUGUAAGACAGCAAUGCUCACUGUUCCACCAAUGAUGGCAAGUUCAGGUUCUGAAGCAGCAAGGCAGAUUAUCACAAUACCACCCCCAUGUACAGUACCUUGCGAAAGUAUUCGGCCCCCUUGAACUUUUCAACCUCUUGCCACAUUUCAGGCUUCAAACAUAAAGAUACAAAAUUCUAAUUUUUUGUGAAGAAUCAACAAGUGGAGACACAAUCGUGAACUGGAAUGAAAUUUAUUGGAUAUGUCAAACUGUUUUAACAAAUAAAAAACUGAAAAAUGGGGCGUGAUCAGUAGCUAAACCAUGAGCCGGAAAGCAAUGUGGAGAGGCGAGCAGAGGAGCGGGCAGGAGGCCUCCUCAUUGAAGUGGCAAUUUCUCCUAGGGCCCUUUGUCGCUCGGCCUCAAUGACGUAGUGAAUCCGAGGAUCAGGAAAAAAAAUUUUUUCGCCUCGUGCCAGUCUUGGAGCAGGUAUGACAGGAGCUCCAUCAUUAACAGGAAAUUGAAGUAGAGUAGCUGCUCCUCUGCAUUAAAAGGAAUCAGAUGAGGUAAUCAGGAAUCUGACCAAGAAGCCUCCUGGGCAUUUUGCUUUGGAGGUUUUUGGGCAUGUGUCACUUUGAAGAGACCAUAGGGCAGAUUGCUCUAUGCUACAGCCACAUUCGCCCGGUUGCACUCACAAACGUACAUUUCUGCACUAAUAUGCAGACAAGUAGGCAACUUGUGUCAUAUCCAUGGUGGCUUGUGUGCAGGCUUCAUGCAGGCUGUGCUUUUGUGCUGUGUUUUUUCUGUGCAGGGUGUGACUGGCAGGUGCUGCUGUACAGGUGUAGCUCAUCUGAGAGCAAUCAGCUGGGCUUCAUAUGGAGUGGAAACCCAGAGGGAGGAGUCAGCUCGUUUUCUCACUUGGCGUAGUAACAGCCAGACCUCUGCUUUUCUGCAGUCCUGCUUCUAAGCAGAUUUCUCUGAUCAUCUUGUUUUUCUACCCUGCCUUGCAGAUCGACCUUCUGCUGAAGGAAGCCGUGGAAUCUCUCAGGUCUCCGGUUUCACUUGUGUCACGUUCAGAGGAGUUUGGAAACUCCACCCUUGACGCCCCAGCCCUGAGCCUCCACUCUGCUUCCAGCUCCAAACCCAGCUUCUCAGGAGCCACCUAAACCUAACCAUCAACCUGCCUGUCCACGCUCCAACGUUAACUCUCCAACCACAGUGGAGUUUCCCGGAAGAGAUGAAACACAAGCGAAGGAACGAAGCAAUUCACCUUCCAAAAACUGUGCAUUGCCUGUCAGCCUCAAGCCACCGUGGAAUAAAGGACUUCUUACCCACCCUGGCCUUACCAAGAACUCAACCCCUAAAGACUCAGAUUUUCCAGUCCUGGUUCCAGUCCGACCUUAAACCGUGUAUCUUAAUAAACUGUUAAAAUGC